rnacentral:rRNA from 1 species
UACGUAGGCAGCAAGCGUUGUUCGGAAUUACUGGGCGUAAAGAGUGUGUAGGCGGUGCUCUAAGUUCGGUGUGAAAUCUCCCGGCUCAACUGGGAGGGUGCGCCGGAAACUGGGGUGCUGGAGCGCGGGAGAGGAAAGCGGAAUUCCUGGGUGUAGCGGUGAAAUGCGUAGAUAUCAGGAGGACACCGGCGGUGUGAAGACGGCUUUCGUGGACCGUAG